UCAAGCUACUAAGGGCAUACGGUGGAUGCCUAGGCGCCAAGAGCCGAAGAAGGACGCGGUAAGCUGCGAAAAGCCACGGGGAACUGCAAGCAAGUAUUGAUCCGUGGAUAUCCGAAUGGGGAAACCCGGCCAUCGUCAUGGAUGGUCACCCGCAAGGGAGGGAACCUGGGGAACUGAAACAUCUAAGUACCCGGAGGAAGAGAAAUCAAACGAGAUGCCCACAGUAGCGGCGAGCGAAGAGGGCAGAGCCCAAACCGAGAAGCUCCGGCUUUUCGGGGUUGAGGACCGGCAGAAUCGAAGUCAGGCCUAGUCGAAUUACCUGGAAAGGUAAGCGAGAGAGGGUAAAAGCCCCGUAGACGAAAGGCAGAGCAGAGAGGCCGAGAUCCAGAGUACCACGAAGCACGAGGAAUUUUGUGGGAAGCAGGGGGGACCACCCUCCAAGGCUAAAAACUACUUGGCGACCGAUAGCGCAUAGUACCGUGAGGGAAAGGUGAAAAGAACCCCGGGAGGGGAGUGAAAUAGUACCUGAAACCGUAUGUCUACAAGCAGUCGAAGCGAAAGCGACGGCGUGCCUAUUGAAGAAUGAACCAACGAGUUAUCUGCACUAGCGAGGUUAAGUGGAAGACACGGAGCCGCAGCGAAAGCGAGUCUUAAGAGGGCGCUAGUUAGUGUAGGUAGACCCGAAACCGCAGUGAUCUACCCAUGUCCAGGUUGAAGCGCAGGUAAAAUUGCGUGGAGGACCGAACCGGUGAGCGUUGAAAAGCUUUCGGAUGAGAUGUGGGUAGGGGUGAAAUUCCAAUCGAACGCGGAGAUAGCUGGUUCUCCCCGAAAUAGCUUUAGGGCUAGCCUGAGGUAGUAAGUAUAGGCGGUAGAGCACUGAUCGGGCUAGGGGCCGUAAAGGUUACCGAACCCUGUCAAACUCCGAAUGGAUAUACUGUAGAGCCUUGGAGUCAGACUACGAGUGAUAAGAUCCGUGGUCAAAAGGGAAACAGCCCAGACCACCAGCUAAGGUCCCCAAUGUCGUACUAAGUGGAAAAGGAUGUGGGGUUUCAUAAACAACCAGGAUGUUGGCUCAGAAGCAGCCACCAUUUAAAGAGUGCGUAAUAGCUCACUGGUCGAGAGACCCUGCGCCGAAGAUUCCCGGGGCUAAAGUACGAAACCGAAGCUGUGGCUGUAUACGUAAAGUAUACGGGGUAGGGGAGCGUUCCCAUAGGGUAGAAGUCGAACUGGAAGGUUCGGUGGACUUGUGGGAAGUGAGAAUGUUGGUAUGAGUAGCGAAAAGAAAGGUGAGAAUCCUUUCCACCGAAAGCAUAAGGAUUCCUGAGCAACGAUCGUCGUCUCAGGGUAAGUCGGGACCUAAUCCGAGGCAGAGAGCGUAGGAGAUGGACAACUGGUUGAUAUUCCAGUACCGGUAGUAAUUGUUUGAGCAAUGGAGUGACACAGAAGGGCAGGCAAGCAUGCGAAUGGAAGAGCAUGUGUAAGCGUGUAGGGUGGUGCAUAGGCAAAUCCGUGCACUGAAAGCCUGAGGCGUGAUGCGGAGUGAGCAGAGAUGCGAGCGAAGUUGUUGACCCCACACUGUCGAGAAAAGCUUCUAGUGAGAGAGCUACCGCCCGUACCGUAAACCGACACAGGUAUGCGGGGAGAGAAUCCUAAGGUGCGCGGGAGAACCCUCGUUAAGGAACUCGGCAAAAUGUACCCGUAACUUCGGGAUAAGGGUAGCCACUGUUGUGAAGUCCCAUGCGGAUGGAGCAUAGAGUGGUCGCAGAGAAGAGGCCCAAGCGACUGUUUACCAUAAACACAGGUGCCUGCUAAAGCGAAAGCUGACGUAUAGGUGCUGACACCUGCCCAGUGCCGGAAGGUUAAGGAAGGAUGUUCGGAUUAGUCCAAAGCAUUCGACUGAAGCCCCGGUGAACGGCGGCCGUAACUAUAACGGUCCUAAGGUAGCGAAAUUCCUUGUCGGGUAAGUUCCGACCCGCACGAAAGGUGUAACGAUUUGGGCACUGUCUCAACGAGGGACCCGGUGAAAUUGAAAUACCUGUGAAGAUGCAGGUUACCCGCGACUGGACAGAAAGACCCCAUGGAGCUUUACUGUAACCUGACAUUGGGUUUUGAUACAUUACGUACAGGAUAGGUGGGAGGCUUGGAAAGCUGGACGCUAGUCUGGCUGGAGCCGACGUUGGGAUACCACCCUUGAUGUAUUGAAAUUCUAACCGCGAGAGUAACGAAAUCCGGGACAGUGUCAGGCGGGCAGUUUGACUGGGGCGGUCGCCUC
rnacentral:rRNA from 1 species